AGAGUUUGAUCCUGGCUCAGAUUGAACGCUGGCGGUAUGCUUAACACAUGCAAGUCGAACGGAAACGAUACUAGCUUGCUAGUAGGCGUCGAGUGGCGGACGGGUGAGUAACGCGUAGGAAUCUGCCUGAUAGUGGGGGAUAGCCCGGAGAAAUUCGGAUUAAUACCGCAUAAUCUAUUCGUAGUAAAGUGGGGGACUUUCGAGCCUCACGCUAUCAGAUGAGCCUGCGUAAGAUUAGCUAGUUGGUAGGGUAAAAGCCUACCAAGGCGAUGAUCUUUAGCUGGUCUGAGAGGAUGAUCAGCCACAUCGGGACUGAGACACGGCCCGAACUCCUACGGGAGGCAGCAGUGGGGAAUAUUGGACAAUGGGGGCAACCCUGAUCCAGCAAUACCGCGUGUGUGAAGAAGGCCUGAGGGUUGUAAAGCACUUUCAAUUGUGAAGAAAAGUUAGCGGUUAAUAACCGUUAGCCUUGACGUUAACUUUAGAAGAAGCACCGGCUAACUCCGUGCCAGCAGCCGCGGUAAUACGGAGGGUGCAAGCGUUAAUCGGAAUUACUGGGCGUAAAGCGUGCGUAGGCGGUUUAUUAAGUCAGAUGUGAAAGCCCCGGGCUUAACCUGGGAACUGCAUUUGAAACUGGUAAACUAGAGUAUGGUAGAGGAAAGUGGAAUUUCUGGUGUAGCGGUGAAAUGCGUAGAUAUCAGAAGGAACAUCAAUGGCGAAGGCAGCUUUCUGGACCAAUACUGACGCUGAGGUACGAAAGCGUGGGUAGCAAACAGGAUUAGAUACCCUGGUAGUCCACGCCGUAAACGAUGAUAACUAGCCGUUGGGGGGAUUUACCCUUUAGUGGCGAAGCUAACGCGUUAAGUUAUCCGCCUGGGGAGUACGGCCGCAAGGUUAAAACUCAAAGGAAUUGACGGGGACCCGCACAAGCGGUGGAGCAUGUGGUUUAAUUCGAUGCAACGCGAAGAACCUUACCUGGUCUUGACAUCCUGCGAACUUUCUAGAAAUAGAUUGGUGCCUUCGGGAACGCAGUGACAGGUGCUGCAUGGCUGUCGUCAGCUCGUGUCGUGAGAUGUUGGGUUAAGUCCCGUAACGAGCGCAACCCCUAUCCUUAUUUGCCAGCACAUCAUGGUGGGAACUAUAAGGAGACUGCCGGUGAUAAACCGGAGGAAGGCGGGGACGACGUCAAGUCAUCAUGGCCCUUACGACCAGGGCUACACACGUGCUACAAUGGGAAGGACAAAGAGCCGCGAAGCCGCGAGGUGUAGCUAAUCUCAUAAACCUUUUCGUAGUCCGGAUUGGAGUCUGCAACUCGACUCCAUGAAGUCGGAAUCGCUAGUAAUCGUAGAUCAGAAUGCUACGGUGAAUACGUUCCCGGGUCUUGUACACACCGCCCGUCAUACCAUGGGAGUGGGUUGCACCAGAAGUGGCUAGUCUAACUUAGUGAGGACGGUCACCACGGUGUGAUUCAUGACUGGGGUAAAGUCGUAACAAGGUA
rnacentral:rRNA from 1 species